UGGUGUGGAUAUUGUAAACACAGCUCAAAUGCUGUGAAGAUUUAGUUAGAAAAAACUCUUUAGUCCUUUGUGUUUGUGAUGUUGCUGGAUGAUACCCGUACAACAGAGUGUUCAUCCUUGCUAUUUCUGCUGCUGUGAGCACGUCUCAGUGCAUUGGUAGAGAUAUUCCAUAAGAAGGAACCUCGGGCUGUGGUCCACCAGCAGAGUGACCAGAGUGGAUGCAGGAACCAUGGAGCACAUUGUGGGACAAGCUAGAAACUUGUGAAAGUAUUGGGCCCAAACCGUGGGAAGCUAAAGACCCCAUGGAGGUGUUGAAAUAUUGGGGAGAGUUUGUGCAAACUCCUCAGACAUACUCUAAAGAGCAGCUUAUUCAUACUGAACACAUGGUAGGAUAUCUAUUAUUUGCAUACAAACUUGCAGUUGGAAAGAAUACAGAUUUUGAAAAACAGUUAGUCAAACAAGACAAGGACAUGUUGCAGAAGCAGGCAUUUGUGGUUGCUGCUGCCGCACUGCAAUCUGAAAUCUCAGUAAGUUAGGCCUGUAAGUAAGGUUAAGUUGUAAACUAUAAGUUAAAUUAGGUAUAAGUUAAAUGUUGUUCCUUUGUUAAAUUUUUAGGUUUAAGGUAAAAGUUAAGUUAGAGUACUCUUGAGUGCCGCUAAACUUUUAGGCCAUAUUCCUCUUAUUCCUUGCCUCACUGUCCUUUUGUCACACAUACACAGAGGUAGUUCCUGGCUUGUUUCUGUUUUGUUUGCCUGGCUUUUAUUUGGCUUUGUUGUUGCUUGUUUUUUCCUUGGUGUGCUUUAACUGUAGUAGAGUGAAUCUUGCCAAUGAACUUUGUUGUGCUGUCACUUAAUAUUAGAUCUGAUUUUGCUGAUACCCUUGCUGAUGAUUUUUUUAGGUGAUCUCAAACUCUUGGUCGUAACUUUGGAUGCAAGAGAUUUGGAGAAACUUUUGGUGCUAAGCCCUUUUCUUUUUUUAAAUAGAAUGCAUUUAGAACUAAUGCAUAGGAUACUAAUUUGCUAGCCUUAGCUAGUCAGGGAUGUGGUAUUAAAUACCCCACAGAAAAUAAUUAACCAGGGUCUGAGCGUCCAUGGUACACCUUGUAAGAUUGUAUACAGCAAAUGAAGAAGGAAGGGAUGAAAGCAGCAAUUUUUACUGGGGACGCUGAUCCUCUGAUGUGAAAUCCGCGUCUGUUACUGUGAGAAAUAGACUGAUUAAGACUACUCCCCCAGCAUAUGAAAAUGUAAUAAUGACCCUUUUAAUUAAUGAAACAGGAAAUCCUCUGGAUGAGAUAAUUGAAAAAAUACAGCAGCUAAGUAAGCUUGGGGAGUGGAACCCCCAGAGAAGUGCUGGGAAUCAAGAAAACCUACCUAUUAGGCUUUUCACACAAGGAAGUAGCUACAUGCCAGGGUUAAAAUUCCAAGAGGAGAUGCAGAAAUCCAAGCAACUGUUAAUGACAUAUUACAAGCAGGUAUUUUAUAUUUUCACCCCUGCUUUAGUAGCAAGUGACUUCGUAGUGUUAAAUUCUGUACACCCACAGCACAGAGUGGCCUUACAAGUUGCUAUUUUUAUGUGUUUUUCCAAUUAAAGUGUAACAUGUAACUUGUGUUUCAUUCUUCUAGAGUGGAGAGUUCAUUCCAUGAAUCUUAAGGGUACCUCAGACUCAUACUCACCUGGAACAGAACGUCUGGGUGACCCUGGCUAAGGCAACCAGAGAAGAAACCUUAUGCCUUAGCCCUGCUCUGCCCCAGAACCCAUUCACAACAUGUUUGAUCAGCGUCCCUCUCACUGCCUGUGAGCUGCAACAGCUGUGUAACAGUACCCCUGCAUCUGCGGCCUGUCCGGCUACUGGAGUGUGGCAACAACUGUCUCACCUCGGGACAUUUUCUCACCCUGCUUUAUCCCCACAGGAGCUGCAGAUUUUAGGCACCUUGAAUGCAGAUAGUUGUACUAACUUUAAAUUUAUUAGCACGAGGAAUAGUCCUAUAGCUUGGUGGGUUAAUGCCACGAUACCAUGGUAUCAAAAUGCUUCACACUGGUGUAAUUCAACCACAGCCCAACUAACCCUGAGUUUUACUACACAUAUGCAACUCUCACAAGGUAUCUUCUUAAUCUGUGGGGACCAAGCAUGGGCUGGAGUGCCAAUGGAAAUUAAAGGUGGUCCAUGUACCUUGGGAAAACUAACACUCUCCAAAUAUAACUGUUGCAGUAUGGAUCCAACAAAACCGAACUCACCACCAACAUACUCGGAGCCACACAUGCUUCUACUCCUGACUGCAGAGAUACUGUUGAGUUCUGGAACACUCAAGACAAUCACUGUCUUUUUAUUGGCUCCUGGGGUUGCUAGUGCUAAAACACUCACGAGCCUGAAUAAACUUGGCUGUUGGUUAGCAAAGUUUAGCAAUGCUACUGACAUAGCUAUAUAUGAUUUGUUAGUUGAUGCAGACAGUAUUAGACACGCUACACUACAAAAUUGAGCAGCAAUUGAUUUUUUGCUUUUAGCAGAUGGACAUGGAUGCAAAAAUACUGACAGAUUAUGUUGUAUGAACUUAAGUGGUAAUUCUAGCUCUGUCCAUGCACAGAUACAGAAAUUACGGACACUUGCUCAGCACCUUGUAGAAGAAGACACCAGUUGGAAUCCAUUUGCUGGAUGGACAUGGGGUUGGAAUUGGUUAAAAAAGGGAUAAGUAUUACUUUGUGCCUUAAGUAUUGGGAUUCUAUGUAUUCUUUGUUGUAUUCCUUGUUUAGUAUCAUUAAUGCGAUCUUUAAUAGAUGGCAUGUUGCAUCGUACUGUUGUUUGUAUGAUGGAAUAUUGACGAGUUCCAACCGCGGACCAUGUGGUGACAUGUGUCAGGGACUGAAAUCGUGUCUAAGGCCCUGCCAUGUUUGGGCCACUGCUGUGCACGUUGACCAGAUAAUGAAGAACAUACAGUGCAGAAAACCUUACUGUUUAACUGGUGGGAACUUGACCCUUAAGAGAAACAACGUAUUGGUCAAUCAAUGGGACAUUAACCUGGGAAAGAGGAACAAUACACAAUGGAGCUGGUGUUAGCAUGGAGGUGGUAUCGUGAGCCAUUGUGGCCUCAUCUUACGUGCUGGCCACGUGUGCGAUGACAUCGUAACUGGAAAAAUUCCACUCUGGAGGAGGAGAUAUAAGGCCUGGUUCUGGGGUGAAGGGAGGAGAAGGACAAAAUGAGUGCCAUUUCAGUCCAAGAGAUGCCCUCAUUGUGCCCUGCCUACCUGCCCCUCCCGCCUGAGCACCAUGCUCCAUUUGCUUCCCCUGCUCAGCAGCUUUUCAAGAAUCAUGGGGUCAGUAUGAUUUGCUACAGCAACUAAUACAAUAAAUUUGCUUUGCAAUCACAAUUGCGUUUCAGAUUUUUUGCA